UCGAGCGAACAGACGAGGAGCUUGCUCCUCUGACGUUAGCGGCGGACGGGUGAGUAACACGUGGAUAACCUACCUAUAAGACUGGGAUAACUUCGGGAAACCGGAGCUAAUACCGGAUAAUAUAUUGAACCGCAUGGUUCAAUAGUGAAAGACGGUUUUGCUGUCACUUAUAGAUGGAUCCGCGUCGCAUUAGCUAGUUGGUAAGGUAACGGCUUACCAAGGCAACGAUGCGUAGCCGACCUGAGAGGGUGAUCGGCCACACUGGAACUGAGACACGGUCCAGACUCCUACGGGAGGCAGCAGUAGGGAAUCUUCCGCAAUGGGCGAAAGCCUGACGGAGCAACGCCGCGUGAGUGAUGAAGGUCUUCGGAUCGUAAAACUCUGUUAUUAGGGAAGAACAAAUGUGUAAGUAACUAUGCACGUCCUGACGGUACCUAAUCAGAAAGCCACGGCUAACUACGUGCCAGCAGCCGCGGUAAUACGUAGGUGGCAAGCGUUAUCCGGAAUUAUUGGGCGUAAAGCGCGCGUAGGCGGUUUUUUAAGUCUGAUGUGAAAGCCCACGGCUCAACCGUGGAGGGUCAUUGGAAACUGAAAAACUUGAGUGCAGAAGAGGAAAGUGGAAUUCCAUGUGUAGCGGUGAAAUGCGCAGAGAUAUGGAGGAACACCAGUGGCGAAGGCGACUUUCUGGUCUGUAACUGACGCUGAUGUGCGAAAGCGUGGGGAUCAAACAG
rnacentral:rRNA from 1 species